rnacentral:lncRNA from 1 species
GCUACUUAAAUACACUUACAUAAAGUGUGUGAAUAAAAUUGCUGUUUUCAGCAAAAAAAAAAAAAAAAAACAACAACCCACUUUUGAUCAAACUUUCAGAUAAUAAAGGGUUAAGAAGAGAUUUUUUUUCAUAACCUAAAGGGAAAAAGUAUGCCCCAUAUAUAUUGUUGCAUACAUUUUAAUGCAUGACUUUUAGUAUAGGGAUGAAAUAAAAUACAAAAUAUAUAAUUCUGGAGGUCUUCUCAGCAGCUAGUUAAACUAUUUAGAUAAGCUGUUUUAUGAAGACAGAAAAUCCCUAGUUUCCCUUUAUAUAUCUCUUUCUAUCGAAAUGGAUCUUUAACAUAAACAUAGUUUAACCAACAAACAUAAACAGACUUGUUCAUCAUGGAAUCUUAUGGAUUCAGCUCUUUAUUGGUUUUAAGCAUAGGCUCUCAAUAAUAUCUAAAUACAUCAAUAUAUAAAAUCUAACUAUUAGCUUCAACACAAGCAAAAUACUUGAUUUUAAAUGUUAAUAUGCAGAUAUUAACGGUAUGCUGUAUCAUGUCUUCUGUGUUCAUGUAUUCCUUUUUAAUAAAAUGCCUGUUAGAAAUAUAAGCCGAUGAUGAUGUGAGUGCAAUUAUCUGAAAACAUUUUGUAGAAAGGUGAUUGUCUGAACACUUUAAUCCACAUUAAAAAGUGGUAGAGGGAGCAGGAAUCUGACAAGAUAUUUUAAAAUGAAGUUGCAUUUCUCUUUUCAAAAUGC